rnacentral:rRNA from 1 species
GGAAGGUCCGGGCGUUAUCCGGAUUUAUUGGGUUUAAAGGGAGCGUAGGCCGGAGAUUAAGCGUGUUGUGAAAUGUAGACGCUCAACGUCUGCACUGCAGCGCGAACUGGUUUCCUUGAGUACGCACAAAGUGGGCGGAAUUCGUGGUGUAGCGGUGAAAUGCUUAGAUAUCACGAAGAACUCCGAUUGCGAAGGCAGCUCACUGGAGCGCAACUGACGCUGAAGCUCGAAAGUGCGGGUAUCGAACAGGAUUAGAUACCCUGGUAGUCCGCACGGUAAACGAUGGAUGCCCGCUGUUGGUCUGAACAGGUCAGCGGCCAAGCGAAAGCAUUAAGCAUCCCACCUGGGGAGU